UUGUAAUAUUUUCCCUCAUAUUCAGACAGAACAAAAACUCUAAGCAAGAAAAAUAGUAUAAAAUACCUCCCACCACCAAUUAUGGAAACCAAGGGUAGGUCCACAUUCUAGGAGGUGGAAGCAACAUGGAAGAGAAUAUCAAGAUGGUAAUAGCAUACAGGGAGCCGUAGCUCUCUAUAAUGAUCCUUCCGCAGGUUCACCUACGGAAA
rnacentral:misc_RNA from 1 species